AACCUACCCGUGGAAAAAUUCCCCAAUCGCUCUUCUCCAUACGCCAGCUCCGCUCAGAAAUCCUCGCCGCCGCAGUCCGUCUCCUGCACCACGCCGCCCACCACCCUCCGACUCCGCGACGGCGUACCCAUCUCCUGUCGUCGCACUCCAUCUCAGCGCCGCCGCUGUCCUCCUUCCCGCACCCGCAGCAAGCGUCGCGUGAACGUCGAUCUGCCGGCGGGGAUCGGAUUGCGCCGCGGCGACAUAGCCGAUGGGAGGCGGAGCGUGUCCGGUGGAAGUUGGGGCUCGUCCCGUCCGCUUAGAUCUCCGGCAGCCAGCCUGGAGGCCCCCGCCUCGCCGGGGCCAUCCGGUGAGCAGCAGCAACCAAACUCGGUUCCUGGCGCAGGCGGUGGAUGACGUUGUUCCCUUCUAGUUCCGCCACUGUUGUAGCCUGAAGGUUAGCUGCAAGCUUCUCUCCCUCUUCUCCCUAAGGAUAAUUGUUGAACACCGUGGGCACUUAGUGGAGUGGGGAUAGAAGUGGACUGGACACUAUUGCCUUGGCUUUUCUACUGAGACAAGUAAAUCACAUAUGAUGGCUGCAUGCACUUAUAUUCAAUCAUGUGCAAAUUAUUGUCUUAUGGCCAUUCUACCGAGACAAGAAGAAGGAAGCAGAACAACUAAAAAAACAGAAAUCCAGCCGCAAAAAGAAGCUGGGAGCAGUAGUUACACAAAUGAAUUACCAGCUGAAAGGAGAAUCAAUCAAGUAUGGCAAAUGGCCUGACAGCUUAUGUUUAGGAUGCAUUCCAAUUGCCAGCAGAACGCGAGCCACGUGGGGAUGCUUUCAUUCCGUUGGCGCAAGUAUGCCAGAAGGCUGUUAAUAGCAAUAUUCAUUUCCAAGGUGGGCGCUGACAAGGUACACUACUUCUUGUUCUGGUUCAGGUGGGCACUUCUUCUGACAAGGUACAGUACCCACGCGAAAUGAGGCGGCGAGUUGGGGUCACUGGAGCAGCCCCCACACACUGCUGGUGGAAGUAGAGGUCCCCUAUGCGAGUGCGGCGAGGUUCUGUGACUGCUGGAGGUUGCCGGCGAGAAUUGGGGCGUGUCGGCGGUGGCUGGGGACGAGCUGCUGGAGCUCUCCUCGUCGACCUGCACAGCGUCGGCGAGCUGCCGGCGAGACAAUCUACUCGAGUCUGGCCAGGGUGCUGGGGCUGUGCUGGGAGGCGACCUGCCGAGCCUGGUGCGACGAUGAAGUGCUAGGAAUGUGCUGGGAGGCGAGGACCUACUGCCUGCUAGCUA